rnacentral:tRNA from 1 species
GGGCCUAUAGCUCAGUGGUAGAGCGGGAGACUCAUAAUCUCAAGGUCGCAGGUUCGAAUCCUGUUGGGCCCA